AGUCUCGACAUUGUGUCAAGAGGAGAGAGCUGAGCAGAAGCGAAGUGAGGCUCGCCUGCAUUUCUUCUUCUCGUCGUCUUUAUGGCGGAUGGCAUCCAACAAAAGGCCUGCUGGCUCCCCAUUCUGACCAGACAUUCCCGAGCCGCUUUAGCCGGCGUCCAGCCAGUACCCCCGACGUGGAGGAGGAGCGAGGACCCGCACAUCGCUGCUUGCAGCUUUAAUUUAAAUUCUGUCUCUAAACAAAUAAUUGGGUCCAUAGAUCCUCUACCUUUCCAAAAUCCACUUUGAUGAGGUGUUAUCAAUCCCCUGGUCUCCAAAUUAAAGGUUAAUCUGUCUGCUAUCAUUCUCUCGAUAAUUUUACCUACAAUGAGGCCUAUCCUUUGUUGGGUUUGAUGGGUCUUUGCCUGGUUUCCUGAUUGGGAUAAUCACAGCCUCUUUCCAUGCACUAGGCAGUCUCCCCACUUCCCAAACGUUAUUAUAAAAUGCUAACAGUUUCAUCAUUGCCAACCUACCUAAAUCCCUCCCUCCAUGUGUGCUCCCCUCUGUCUUUUAUGAAGCUUCCCAGCCUUAAGGUGCCUUAAGCACCUGCAGCUGGGUGAGUAAUGAGGCAGUCUGGGAGAUGUAGUGUUGGCAACGGCGGCCAUUUUGUGGUGUGACCUUUGAUCCUGAGUGGGAAUGUAGCGCCCCUCCACUACCUGUCCCCUUGUGAUGCUACAGUACAUACAACACAACUUUCUGGUUAAAAGCUUAAAUCGCCAACUGUAUGAACAUUUUUCUACUUUUACAAAUGGCUCCUUAUUCUCGACUCAUCUUUCCCCUUGACUCUUAUAGCUUUGUUAACUGUAUAUAGUGAUGAGCAUAUCCUUCUAUGUAAUAUUUGUAUUAAUCUAGAUUCAUACAAGUAUUUGUAUCACUGAACUAAUGACCCUUCCUUGAAUGAUUCUGUUAACUAUAUCGUAAAUAUCAGAUAUCAGUGGCCGCACUGAUAGAAAAUUGAGUACCUAGUUAGUUGUCAAACCUUAUUAAUUGAAUUAACAGUCCAUCCCACCACAUAGAGCCAUAGUUCUUUUCAAUAUCAAUUCUUCAUCUUAAAUUAUUUCUCAAUUUUAUUACUUUCACUGUCAACAGCAUCCACAUUAGAUCAUCUAUUCUGCUAUGAUACUGUUAACCUUCUCGCCUAAGAAAUAAUAAUGUCUAAAUGUAUAUCAUGAGAGUAGUAGGCAUGAUGAACAAGUUACAACUACCAACAAUAGCAACAACAGUGGAUGUUAUAGAAUAAUAAUGAUAAAAAGAAGCAGUAUUGGUAUGGGCAAUACUAUUAGCAACUAAUAAUAAUAAUGAUAAUAGCUGGAGGUGUCAGGCUUUGUGGAUUUACUAACAGGUAACAGAUUGCACUAUUUCUUUCCCUCCAAAUCUCAUGAAAUAAUUCCAGGAAUUAAUACUUAAUUUGGUAUUUAUGGAACAUUGGCCCUGUCUCGUAAUUCUAGUUCCUAAUGCUAUUUCUAACACACUCAUUCAUAAGCAAGAAUAUCUGACUGAGUGUUUCCCGAGUCAUGCCAUAUAAACGGACUGAAAUCUCCCAUUGCUUGUGUCAGAGCACAGCCCGUGUGGAGCUCGGGCCGAGAGGGCUGAGAUGAGGGCUGCGCAGGCUGCAUGCACAGGCUUGUAGUCCUCGAGAGGCGUAAUGCCCGAAGACAGCAGCCUCAAAAGGCCACCGCUUAGGGGGAGAGGCCCUGCAAACGUGUCUUUGAGGUAUGUCAACACAGAGGGAGGAGGAGAGGAGACAGAGAAUGUGGAAAAUCAUCAUUUGUGGACUCAUCGUAGACAAUUUUGGUGUACCAACAGCACCAAUGUAUGUGACCUGUAUGUGAUUUGAACACAUCUGGUAAAAGGAUAAAAAUGAAAGCAUUUCCCAGAAAACUAGAGACAUGACCAGAAUGUCAGCCAGAUCCAUCAUACAAACAUGAUGUGACAUGCCAACGACAUUACAUGACCGGCAAGAAGUCCACCAGACAGGAAAGUGAGAAUAUGUGACAAUGACAGAAGAAAUAUGUAAGUAAACAUCUGUCCAGAUGUGUCUGGGUCUGAUUGGUGUAAAGUGUCGUGAAGGGAGGUAUAUAAUUCAGAUUUACAGUAGGGAUUAUGAUUCUUUGGAGUUGUUGUAAGAUUGUAUUCUUGAACAUGGAAAUAAACAGCUCCCCGCUGGUGGCCCAAAUCCGUAUGCUGUCUUCCUCUUCAUUUUGGCGAUAUUCUGCCACAAC